rnacentral:rRNA from 1 species
CCUACGGGAGGCAGCAGUGAGGAAUAUUGGUCAAUGGCCGAGAGGCUGAACCAGCCAAGUCGCGUGAGGGAAGACGGCCCUACGGGUUGUAAACCUCUUUUGUCGGGGAGCAAAGCGAGUCACGUGUGAUUCAUUGAAAGUACCCGAAGAAAAAGCAUCGGCUAACUCCGUGCCAGCAGCCGCGGUAAUACGGAGGAUGCGAGCGGUAUCCGGCUUUAUUGGGUGUAAAGGGUGAGCAGGCGGAGGUGCAAGUCAGCGGUAAAAUUGCGGGGCUCAACCCCGUACUGCCGUUGAAACUGCAUCCCUUGAGUGCGCGAGAAGUAUGCGGAAUGCGUGGUGUAGCGGUGAAAUGCAGAGAUAUCACGCAGAACUCCGAUUGCGAAGGCAGCAGACCGGCGCGCAACUGACGCUCAUGCACGAAAGCGUGGGUAUCGAACAGGAUUAGAUACCCGAGUAGUC